rnacentral:lncRNA from 1 species
CUGCUCUCCUUCCAAAAAUUCCUUCCUACUUAGGAAGUUUACAAAGUCACGCGGCUCCAUGUGUUGCACGACUUCCAUCAACCUCCGAGGUUUCGCCCGGGUAGUCGCACGCAAACAAACACUGCGCGCCUAACUAUAAAACACACAUAUGCCCGACAAAUGAUCGAUCAAGCGCGCACAACGGUUAGCAGACACACAAAACAUGAGCACCCACUUCCUGUCUUGUUUGAAGCCGCCGUGGCACGGAGCCUUUAGCGAGCGACAGCAGUAAGUGAUGGAUGCUGCGAUGUUGACAGGAGGAGUAAUUAUGCUUUGUCCCAUGGUUCCCGGUAUGGGGGCCACCCAUCACUCUCCAUUACGCCCCUGUGUUGUGGCAGCCUUCCACUUUGUUUAGCAAAUGAAAUGCUUUUCCACCUGAGUGCUCCUGAGAAAUAAGGAGAGGCGUGGUGGGGGUGCGUGUCGGGGGAUAAAAGAGGACAAGGGGUGAGCACGAGCACCGACAACACAUGUUUGUAGCAGACUGCGCGUGCUUGUGUGGGAGAUAUUUAGGGAAAUAUAUGUGGGGGGAAAUAACUCUAAAAGCAGGUGUCAUUGGAAAAACAACACAAUAUAUGACGGAUAUCUGUGUCUGAUUGUGGAUGGAUCCGAAACAUCAAACACAAAAGACAAAAAAGGAAGAGGCAAUGGGACAAUGGUGCUGUUGCUUGCAUUCGAUGCAACACAUUGUUACUCAGAUAGAAAUUCAGCCCGUGAAUAGAGAUGAAGUAGAAUGGAGUUUUUUUUUUGUUUUUUUUUCAAUUUCUAUCACAUUGCAAAAGAAAAGACUGCAAUUAUUGACAUGGCCUCUGAAAUCAACAACAAAUGAAGGGAAGAAAUCAGCACAACAGAAACAAUUUUGCCAGGAAGAGGACAUAAACUACAGCUAGUGGUGGAAAAUGUAGCACACCCUUGUUACUUAUUGAACAAUACAGAAUAAAUAGCUGUCUAUCUGUGCUCUAAUGCCUCUAAAAGUUUUCCGUAUGAUGCACGUUUGGCGUGUUUUUUCCUCGCCCCGGCUCGGUUGGUUUAAUAAGAUUUCCGCCACCUGGAUCCUGAAGGUAUUAUGAGCAGUGAUUGGCAGGAGUCAUUACUGAUAUCAAUCAUCAUUUGCCUCAGCACAUUAGGACCAUGUGUAUAAUCAAGCCUCCGGCCAAGGUCAAAAUUAUGAAAUCAUUACAAUCUUUUCCAUCUAAAUGACAAGACUAAUCACUGCACCUCGCAACUAUUACACCGCUCGCGCCCUUAUCUGCGUGCGAGCACGCUUGUGUAUGUGUGUGGGCGAGCGCGCGGGCAAAAAGUUGCACUUGUACGGCGAUUAAUCCUUGCUGUUGGGGGUUAAUAAGAGUAAUUUGGCCAUGCGUAAUGGCUCCAACUUCCCCAAGUUUAAUGGCGUUAUGAUUUUAUUAUACAGCUUGUUUCUCUCAAGCUUGUUAGGGGAUGAAGGAGCAGUGUAGGUCGAAGAGAACACACAAGACCGUGUGGCUAUAUUUAGCCCGGAGGAGUCUUUUUUACCCCGGCCCUGUCAUUGAGCGAGAAAAGUUUGCGAUGUUCUUGAUGCAAAUAGCCUCAUUUCCUCACUCUCUGCUCCACUAACCGACUAAAUCCACAAGAUGCAGGAAAGCCUUGAGACCUAGUUAGAGUAGGUGAACGCUGGAAUAAAUUUCAAUAUGAAUGGUUCCAUUAAGUCCAUUUUCGACAGGCUGAGCAUAAUAUUAUUUAGAAGCGUGGCGGUGAGAUGAUAACAGGAGAAGGAAAAAGCACCAGGGCAUCCAAAAUAUAGAAAACGAUUGGUAUUUGGUCUAACUUAAUAGGGUUUACUCUUCGGAAGAGAGGAGGUAAAGAAUCAUUUGACAAGAUUAUUUUUUCUGAUUGUUGUUGGAUUCUAACACCACUCGAGAAUAAAUAUGUUUGUACUAACCAUAAACUGAAACACGCACUUAAAGAAAAGUAUUAAAUUCAUCUUGUAUGUCUACAAAAACACUGUUGAGGUCAGAGCCAUGUCCGAGCACCAGAUUUAGUAGAUUAUUAGAUGUUAUUAAAGGCUCUGCACUGCCCCUCACAGGUGUUUGGUUGAAGGAAAAAGAAUACAUGAAAUGUGGGUGCCCGUGGGUGAACUAUGGGUGUGCAGGAAUCAGCAAAGC